GAAGCUCAGCCAGUGCAAGCACCUGGAAGGAAGCUUCCGUGCUGCCAUCCCAAGCUCCUAGGGCCAAGAAGCUCAGCUGGUCCCAGCACCAAGAAUGAAGCUCCCCGCCUCCAUCCCAGGCUCCUAGGGCAGUGAAGCUCAGCUGGUCCCAGCAUCGGGAAGGAAGCUCCCCACCUCCAUCCUAGGCUCCUAGGGCAGUGAAGCUCAGCUGGUCCCAGCAUCAGGAAGGAAGCUCCCCACCUCCAUCCUACACUCCUAGGGCAGUGAAGCUCAGCUGGUCCCAGCAUGAGAAAGGAAGCUCCCUGCCUCCAUCCCAGACUCCUAGGGCAGUGAAGCUCAGCCGGUUCCCGCACCCACAAGGAAGCUGCCUAGCCUCCUUCCCAGGCUCCUAGGGCAGUGAAGCUCACCCAGUCCCAGCACCAGGAAGGAAGCUCCCCUACUCCCAUCCCAGGCUCCUAGGGCCAAGAAUGUGAGCCGGUCCCAGCACCCAGAAGGAAGCUCCCCGGCUCCAUCCCAGGCUCAAAGGGUAGUGAAGCUCAGCCAUUCCCAGCACCAGGAAGGAAGCUCCCCUACUCCCAUCCCAGGCUCCUAGAACAGUGAAGCUCAACUGGUCCCAGGACCCGUAAGGAAGCUACCCCACUGCCUUCCCAGGCUCCUAGGGCCAAGAAGGUAAGCCGGUCCCAGCACCUUGAGGGAAGCUUGCAGGCUCAAUCCCAAGCUGCCAGGGCAGUGAAGCUCAGCUGGCCCCAGAACCUGGAAGGAAGCACCCCGCCUCCAUCUCUGGCUCCUAGGGCAGUGAAGCUCAGCCUGUGCAAGCACCCGGAAGGAAGCUUCCCCGCUGCCAUCCCAAGCUCCUAGGGCCAAGAAGGUGAGCCAGUCCUAGCACCUGGAGGGAAGCUCCCCAGCCUCCAUCCCAGGCUCCUAGGGCACUGAAGCCCAGCUUGUCCAAGGACCAGGAAGGAAGCUCCCCCACUACAUCCCAGACUCCUAGGGCCAAGAAGGUGAGCAGGUCCCAGCAACCAGAGUGAAGCUCCUAGUCUCCACCCCAGGCUAAGAGGGCAGUGAAGCUCAGCCAGUCCCAGCAGCCGGAAGGAAGCUCCCACCUGCCAUCCCAGGCUCCUGAUGCCAAGAAUGUGAGCAGGUCCCAGC
rnacentral:lncRNA from 1 species